rnacentral:rRNA from 1 species
UACGUAGGGGGCAAGCGUUGUCCGGAAUCAUUGGGCGUAAAGAGCGCGUAGGCGGCCCUGUAAGUCCGCUGUGAAAGUCAAGGGCUCAACCCUUGGAUGCCGGUGGAUACUGCAGGGCUAGAGUCCGGAAGAGGCGAGUGGAAUUCCUGGUGGUAGCGGUGAAAUGCGCAGAUAAUCAGGAGGAACACCGAUGGCGAAGGCGAUUACCUGGGGUUGAUCUGACACUGAGGAACGAAAGCUAGGGGAGCAAACGGG